UCUCCGUAGGUGAACCUGCGGAGGGAUCAUUACUGAGUGAGGGCCUUCGGGCUCGACCUCCAACCCUUUGUGAACACAACUUGUUGCUUCGGGGGCGACCCUGCCGUUUCGAUGGCGAGCGCCCCCGGAGGCCUUCAAACACUGCAUUCUCUGCGUCGGAGUAUUAGUAAAUCUAAUCAAAACUUUCAACAACGGAUCUCUUGGUUCUGGCAUCGAUGAAGAACGCAGC
rnacentral:misc_RNA from 1 species